rnacentral:tRNA from 1 species
GACGAAAUAGUUUAAUAUAAAAUAAUAGAUUGUGGUUCUGUAGAUGGGGGAUAUACUUUUCGUUG